rnacentral:lncRNA from 1 species
AUUGUUCUUGCUGGUGUGGUAUGUUCACGGCUGAAAAGAUGGUCAGAAGGGGAAAGGAGGAAGUGAGAAGAAAGAAACAGGGAAAUGACAGAGUGUUGCUCAGUUACCCAGGCUGGAGUGCAAUGGCAUGAUCUUGGCUCACUGCAGCCUCCACCUCCUGGGUUCAAGCGGUUCUCGUGCCUCAGUCUCCCAAGUAGCUGGGAUUACAGCUGAGGGUGGUGGUGCGUGCUAUACUCAGCUACUCAGGAGGCUGAGGUGGGAGGAUCACCUGAGCCCAGAAAGUCAAGUCUGCAGUGAGCUAUGAUCGUGCCACUGCACUCCAGCCUGGGAGA